AUCACCUAAUAUGCUUAAUUGGUAGUAGGCUUUCGAGCCUAUACAGCUUGGAGUAAGACAACAUGCAUAAAGAGGAUGAUGUGGUCAAAAUACUCAUUUGCCUAAUAAUUCUGCACUCCCUGUAUAUGCAGAGGGAGAGGUGAAGCUUUGCAUUCAAUAUAGAGAAAGAUUUUAACCCCUUAAGGACCAAACUUAAAUAAAUAAAAGGGAAUCAUGACAUGUCAUGUGUCCUUAAGGGGUUAAAGGAAAACUCCAAGAGCCAUAACCACUACAUACAGACUGUUGUAGUAAUUAUGGAAACAGGGGAGCUCUGGAGCUUUCCAUGAUAAAUAGUAAAAUUGCAUAACUCACGAGUCUUAUGUGCUCCUGUUCCGCAUCCAGCUUCUCCUGCAUGAGUUCUCCUCUGAGCUGUACUCAUUGGCUGAGAAUGCUCAGCUGAUGCGCUCUG